AACGAACGCUGGCGGCAGGCUUAACACAUGCAAGUCGAACGCAUCCUUCGGGGUGAGUGGCAGACGGGUGAGUAACGCGUGGGAACGUGCCCUUCAGUUCGGGAUAACCCAGGGAAACUUGGGCUAAUACCGGAUACGUGCGAGAGCAGAAAGAUUUAUCGCUGAAGGAUCGGCCCGCGUCUGAUUAGCUAGUUGGUGGGGUAAUGGCCCACCAAGGCGACGAUCAGUCGCUGGUCUGAGAGGAUGAUCAGCCACAUUGGGACUGAGACGCGGCCCAAACGCCUACGGGAGGCAGCAGUGGGGAAUAUUGGACAAUGGGCGCAAGCCUGAUCCAGCCAUGCCGCGUGAGUGAUGAAGGCCUUAGGGUUGUAAAGCUCUUUCGUCCGGGACGAUAAUGACGGUACCGGAAGAAGAAGCCCCGGCUAACUUCGUGCCAGCCGCCGCAGUAACAC
rnacentral:rRNA from 1 species